rnacentral:rRNA from 1 species
AGAGUUUGAUCAUGGCUCAGGACGAACGCUGGCGGCGUGCUUAACACAUGCAAGUCGAGCGGAAAGGCCCUUCGGGGUACUCGAGCGGCGAACGGGUGAGUAACACGUGAGCAACCUGCCCCUGGCUCUGGGAUAGCUCCGGGAAACCGGGAUUAAUACCGGAUAUGACCUGCUUAGGCAUCUUCGCGGGUGUAAAGGGU